CCUACGUGGUGCAGCAGUGGGGAAUAUUGGACAAUGGGGGGAACCCUGAUGCAGCGACGCCGCGUGAGUGAAGAAGUAUUUCGGUAUGUAAAGCUCUAUCAGCAGGGAAGAAAAUGACGGUACCUGACUAAGAAGCCCCGGCUAACUACGUGCCAGCAGCCGCGGUAAUACGUAGGGGCCACGCGUUAUCCGGAUUUACUGGGUGUAAAGGGAUCGUAGGCGGUGCAGCAAGUCUGAUGUGAAAGGUCGGGGCCCAACCCAGGGGCUACAUUGGAAACUGUUGAACUGGAGUACAGGAGAGGUGAGCGGAAUUCCUAGUGUAGCGGUGAAAUGCGUAGAUAUUAGGAGGAACACCAGUGGCGAAGGCGGCUUACUGGACUGUAACUGACGUUGAGGCUCGAAAGCGUGGGGAGCAAACAGGAUUAGAUACCCGGGUAGUC
rnacentral:rRNA from 1 species